GCUAGUCAGGGUGCAGCAGCCGCGGUAAUGCGGAGGGGGCGAGCGGUGUCCGAGUUUAAUGGGGGUAAAGAGCGUGUAGGCGGCCAGGUAGGUCUGCUUUGAAAACUCGAGGCUGAACCUCGAGAUGUCGGCGGAAACCAUCUGGCUAGAGUCCGGAAGAGGAGAGUGGAAUUCCUGGUGUAGCGGUGAAAUGCGCAGAUAUCAGGAAGAACACCCGUGGCGAAGGCGGCUCUCUGGGACGGUACUGACGCUGAGACGCGAAAGCGUGGGGAGCGAACAGGAUUAGAUACUCUUGUAGUC
rnacentral:rRNA from 1 species